GUGGCGAACGGGUGAGUAACACGUGAGCAAUCUGCCCUUGACUCUGGGAUAACUGCGGGAAACUGUAGCUAAUACCGGAUAUUUUCCUCGCUGGGCAUCCAGCGGGGAAGAAAGAAUUUCGGUCAAGGAUGAGCUCGCGGCCUAUCAGCUAGUUGGUGAGGUAAUGGCUCACCAAGGCGACGACGGGUAGCCGGCCUGAGAGGGUGACCGGCCACACUGGAACUGAGACACGGUCCAGACUCCUACGGGAGGCAGCAGUGGGGAAUAUUGCACAAUGGGCGAAAGCCUGAUGCAGCAACGCCGCGUGAGGGAUGAAGGCCUUCGGGUUGUAAACCUCUUUUAGCAGGGAAGAAGCGAAAGUGACGGUACCUGCAGAAAAAGCACCGGCUAACUACGUGCCAGCAGCCGCGGUAAUACGUAGGGUGCAAGCGUUGUCCGGAAUUAUUGGGCGUAAAGAGCUCGUAGGCGGUUUGUCACGUCUGCUGUGAAAAUCCGAGGCUCAACCUCGGACUUGCAGUGGGUACGGGCAGGCUAGAGUGCGGUAGGGGAGAAGGGAAUUCCUGGUGUAGCGGUGGAAUGCGCAGAUAUCAGGAGGAACACCAAUGGCGAAGGCACUUCUCUGGGCCGUAACUGACGCUGAGGAGCGAAAGCGUGGGGAGCGAACAGGAUUAGAUACCCUGGUAGUCCAC
rnacentral:rRNA from 1 species